GCCCUUGUAGUGUUAAUAGGUAGCAUUGUAGACUGUUAAUCUGACGGUGGGAGUUCGAAUCUCCCCGAGGGCUCCA
rnacentral:tRNA from 1 species